rnacentral:siRNA from 1 species
AGGGCUGACGAAGAAACGGACCCG